rnacentral:misc_RNA from 1 species
CCUCUGUCCCGCUGUCCGGAGGUAAAAUACAGCCAUCCAUCCCAAAAGCCAGCAAGCGUAGUUUUUAUGCGGAAAGGAAGUUUUCCAAUCACUGACCAUGUCAGAGAAUCCACACGAAAUUGGAACACCUCCCCAACCAGGAUCAUCCUUUUGGUCUCUGGGUGCUUUUCUGUUGUACCUCCAGUGAUGAUGAUCGAAUUG